UGAGUACAAGAUGCUACGGCAUUGAAGCAGUCUAUGUCAUACUUCCAAGAAAAGCUUGCAAUGUCAUAAACAAAUAAUGCCUGUACCAUAACCGACACAGGUGGGUAGGUAGAGUAUACUAAGGGGCGCGAGAUAACUCUCUCUAAGGAACUCGGCAAAAUGACUCCGUAACUUCGGGAGAAGGAGUACCUUAUUUUAUAAGGUUGCAAUAACAAGGUCCAAGCAACUGUUUACCAAAAACACAGGUCUCCGCUAAGUCGUAAGACGAUGUAUGGGGCUGACGCCUGCCCAGUGCCAGAAGGUUAAAGAAGUUGGUUAGCAUUAGCGAAGCUGAUAACUGAAGCCCUGGUGAACGGCGGCCGUAACAAUAACGGUCCUAAGGUAGCGAAAUUCCUUGUCGGGUAAGUUCCGACCCGCACGAAAGGCGUAAUGAUUUGGAUACUGUCUCGGAGAGGGGCUCGGUGAAAUAGACUUGUCUGUGAAGAUGCGGACUACCUGCACCUGGACAGAAAGACCCUAUGAAGCUUUACUGUAACUUGAGAUUGAAAUUGGACUUUAUUUGCGCAGUAUAGGUGGGAGACCUCGAAAGUAUUCUUGCGGGAAUAUUGGAGUCAUCAGUGAGAUACCACUCUUAUAAUGUUAGAUUUCUAACUUUGUAUCAUUAUCUGGUCAAAGAACAGUUUCAGGCGGGCAGUUUGACUGGGGCGGUCGCCUCCCAAAUGGUAACGGAGGCGCACAAAGGUUUCCUCUGAACGUGUAGAAAUCGUAUCUAGAGUGUAAAGGCAUAAGGAAGCUUGACUGUGAGACCUACAAGUCGAGCAGGGACGAAAGUCGGUCUUAGUGAUCUGACGGUGCUGAGUGGAAAGGCCGUCACUCAACGGAUAAAAGUUACUCUAAGGAUAACAGGCUGAUCUCCCCCAAGAGUUCACAUCGACGGGGAGGUUUGGCACCUCGAUGUCGGCUCAUCGCAUCCUGGGGCGGUAGUACGUCCCAAGGGUUGGGCUGUUCGCCCAUGAAAGCGGUACGCGAGCUGGGUUCAGAACGUCGUGAGACAGUUCGGUCCAUAUCCGGUGUAGGCGUUAGAAUAUUGAGAGGAGCCUUCUUUAGUACGAGAGGACCGAGAAGGACAUACCUCUGGUGUACCAGUUAUCGUGCCAACGGUAAACGCUGGGUAGCUAUGUAUGGAGAGGAUAACCGCUGAAAGCAUCUAAGUGGGAAGCCCACCUCAAGAUAAGUAUUCUC
rnacentral:rRNA from 1 species